AGAGUUUGAUCCUGGCUCAAAAUCAACGCUGGCGGCGUGCCUCAGACAUGCAAGUCGAACGCGAAAGUUUCCUUCGGGAGACGAGUAGAGUGGCGCACGGGUGAGUAACGCGUAGGUAAUCUACCUUUGGAUGGGGAAUAACAACCGGAAACGGUUGCUAAUACCGCAUAAUGCAGCGGCACCUAAUGGUGACAGUUGCUAAAGCGGGGGAUCGAAAGACCUCGCGUUUGAAGAGGAGCCUGCGGCGGAUUAGCUAGUUGGUAAGGUAAUGGCUUACCAAGGCUACGAUCCGUAACCGGCCUGAGAGGGCGGUCGGUCACACUGACACUGACAUACGGGUCAAACUCCUACGGGAGGCAGCAGUCGGGAAUUUUGGGCAAUGGGCGAAAGCCUGACCCAGCAACGCCGCGUGAAGGAUGAAAUCCCUCGGGAUGUAAACUUCGCAAGAACGGGAAGAAUAAGUAGGGGACAAUACCCCCUAUGAUGACGGUACCGUUUGUAAGCUCCGGCUAACUCCGUGCCAGCAGCCGCGGUAAUACGGGGGGAGCAAGCGUUGUUCGGAUUUACUGGGCGUAAAGGGCGCGUAGGCGGUCAGCACAAGUCAGUUGUGAAAUCUCCGAGCUUAACUCGGAAAGGUCAACUGAUACUGUGCGACUAGAGUGCAGAAGGGGCAACUGGAAUUCUUGGUGUAGCGGUGAAAUGCGUAGAUAUCAAGAGGAACACCUGCGGCGAAAG
rnacentral:rRNA from 1 species